rnacentral:rRNA from 1 species
CUGGCGGCAGGCCUAACACAUGCAAGUCGAACGGUAACAGGAAGAAGCUUGCUUCUUUGCUGACGAGUGGCGGACGGGUGAGUAAUGUCUGGGAAACUGCCUGAUGGAGGGGGAUAACUACUGGAAACGGUAGCUAAUACCGCAUAACGUCGCAAGACCAAAGAGGGGGACCUUCGGGCCUCUUGCCAUCGGAUGUGCCCAGAUGGGAUUAGCUUGUUGGUGGGGUAACGGCUCACCAAGGCGACGAUCCCUAGCUGGUCUGAGAGGAUGACCAGCCACACUGGAACUGAGACACGGUCCAGACUCCUACGGGAGGCAGCAGUGGGGAAUAUUGCACAAUGGGCGCAAGCCUGAUGCAGCCAUGCCGCGUGUAUGAAGAAGGCCUUCGGGUUGUAAAGUACUUUCAGCGGGGAGGAAGGGAGUAAAGUUAAUACCUUUGCUCAUUGACGUUACCCGCAGAAGAAGCACCGGCUAACUCCGUGCCAGCAGCCGCGGUAAUACGGAGGGUGCAAGCGUUAAUCGGAAUUACUGGGCGUAAAGCGCACGCAGGCGGUUUGUUAAGUCAGAUGUGAAAUCCCCGGGCUCAACCUGGGAACUGCAUCUGAUACUGGCAAGCUUGAGUCUCGUAGAGGGGGGUAGAAUUCCAGGUGUAGCGGUGAAAUGCGUAGAGAUCUGGAGGAAUACCGGUGGCGAAGGCGGCCCCCUGGACGAAGACUGACGCUCAGGUGCGAAAGCGUGGGGAGCAAACAGGAUUAGAUACCCUGGUAGUCCACGCCGUAAACGAUGUCGACUUGGAGGUUGUGCCCUUGAGGCGUGGCUUCCGGAGCUAACGCGUUAAGUCGACCGCCUGGGGAGUACGGCCGCAAGGUUAAAACUCAAAUGAAUUGACGGGGGCCCGCACAAGCGGUGGAGCAUGUGGUUUAAUUCGAUGCAACGCGAAGAACCUUACCUGGUCUUGACAUCCACAGAACUUUCCAGAGAUGGAUUGGUGCCUUCGGGAACUGUGAGACAGGUGCUGCAUGGCUGUCGUCAGCUCGUGUUGUGAAAUGUUGGGUUAAGUCCCGCAACGAGCGCAACCCUUAUCCUUUGUUGCCAGCGGUCCGGCCGGGAACUCAAAGGAGACUGCCAGUGAUAAACUGGAGGAAGGUGGGGAUGACGUCAAGUCAUCAUGGCCCUUACGACCAGGGCUACACACGUGCUACAAUGGCGCAUACAAAGAGAAGCGACCUCGCGAGAGCAAGCGGACCUCAUAAAGUGCGUCGUAGUCCGGAUUGGAGUCUGCAACUCGACUCCAUGAAGUCGGAAUCGCUAGUAAUCGUGGAUCAGAAUGCCACGGUGAAUACGUUCCCGGGCCUUGUACACACCGCCCGUCACACCAUGGGAGUGGGUUGCAAAAGAAGUAGGUAGCUUAACCUUCGGGAGGGCGCUUACCACUUUGUGAUUCAUGACUGGGGUGAAGUCGUAACAAGGUAACCGUAGGGGAACCUGCGGUUG